rnacentral:rRNA from 1 species
AKGCGGGUKCUCMACAUGCAAGUCGAGCGGAUGUUUAUUAGUAGCUUGCUACUGAUAAACGUUAGCGGCGGACGGGUGAGUAAUACGUAGGAAUCUGCCUCAAGGCGGGGGACAACGGAUCGAAAGAUCCGCUAAUACCCCAUAUGCGAGUAAUCGUAAAAGGAGUAAUCCGCCUGGAGAUGAGCCUGCGUCCGAUUAGCUAGUUGGCGGGGUAAUAGCCCACCAAGGCGACGAUCGGUAGUUGGUCUGAGAGGAUGAUCAGCCACAAUGGGACUGAGACACGGCCCAUACUCCUACGGGAGGCAGCAGUGGGGAAUUUUACGCAAUGGGGGAAACCCUGACGUAGCGACACCGCGUGAGCGAAGAAGCCCUUUGGGGUGUAAAGCUCUGUCAGCUGGAACGAACACAAUGACGGUACCAGCAGAGGAAGCAUCGGCUAACUACGUGCCAGCAGCCGCGGUAAGACGUAGGAUGCAAGCGUUGUCCGGAUUCAUUGGGCGUAAAGAGUUCGUAGGUGGUCUGUUAAGUUUGGUGUUAAAGAGCGGGGCCCAACCCCGAUAGUGCACUGAAUACUGGCAGACUUGAGUGCGUUAGAGGUGAGUGGAAUUCCCAGUGUAGCGGUGAAAUGCAUAGAUAUUGGGAAGAACACCGGUGGCGUAAGCGACUCACUGGGACGUAACUGACACUGAGGAACGAAAGCCGGGGGAGCAAAUGGGAUUAGAUACCCCAGUAGUCCCGGCUGUAAACGAUGGAUACUAGGCGUUGUGGGUAWCGACCCGAGCGKKSSSCSRAARMCA